rnacentral:rRNA from 1 species
GACGAACGCUGGCGGCGUGCCUAAUACAUGCAAGUCGAACGCAGUUGCGAACGGGUGAGUAACGCGUAGGUAACUGCCUCAUAGCGGGGGAUAACUAUUGGAAACGAUAGCUAAUACCGCAUACUGUGAGAUGGACCUGCGUUGUAUUAGCUCGUUGGUGAGGUAAAGGCUCACAAAGGCGACGAUACAUAGCCGACCUGCGAGGGUGAGCGGCGACACUGGGACUGGGAGACGGACCAGCACCCUACGGGAGGGAGCAGGAGGGAAUCUUCGGGAAUGGAAGGAAGUCUGACCGAGCAACGCCGCGUGAGUGACGAAGGUUUUCAGAUCGUAAAGAUGAGGUGUUAGAGAAGCGGUAACUAAAGAGAAAGCGACGGCUAACUACGUGCCAGCAGCCGCGGUAAUAC